GAUCGAGUUUGAUCCUGGCUCAGGAUGAACGCUAGCGGCAGGCUUAACACAUGCAAGUCGAGGGGUAGAAGUUGCUUGCAACUUUGAGACCGGCGCACGGGUGCGUAACGCGUAUGCAAUCUACCUUGUACAGGGGGAUAGCCCAGAGAAAUUUGGAUUAAUACCUCAUAGUAUUUUCGAAUCGCAUGAUUUGAUUAUUAAAGUUCCAACGGUAAAAGAUGAGCAUGCGUCCCAUUAGCUAGAUGGUAAGGUAACGGCUUACCAUGGCAACGAUGGGUAGGGGUCCUGAGAGGGAGAUCCCCCGACACUGGUACUGAGACACGGACCAGACUCUACGGGGAGGCAGCAGUGAGGAAUAUUGGUCAAUGGACGCAAGUCUGAACCCAGCCCAUGCCGCGUGCAGGAUGACGGUCCUAUGGAUUGUAAACUGCUUUUG
rnacentral:rRNA from 1 species